rnacentral:siRNA from 1 species
GCUAAACCGGAUUUCUGAUGUGG